rnacentral:rRNA from 1 species
UGAAUACGAGACGCUAAGGCGUCGAAGUAGUGUAUGUCAUACUUCCAAGAAAAGCUUGCACUGUCAUAGAUAAAAAACGCCUGUACCAUAACCGACACAGGUGGGUAUGUAGAGUAUACUAAGGGGCGCGAGAUAACUCUCUCUAAGGAACUCGGCAAAAUAACUCCGUAACUUCGGGAGAAGGAGUGCCUUAUUCGUAAGGUUGCAAUAACAAGAUCCAAGCAACUGUUUAUCAAAAACACAGGUCUCCGCUAAGUCGUAAGACGAUGUAUGGGGGCUGACGCCUGCCCAGUGCCAGAAGGUUAAAGAAGUUGGUUAGCAAUUGCGAAGCUGAUAACUGAAGCCCUGGUGAACGGCGGCCGUAACUAUAACGGUCCUAAGGUAGCGAAAUUCCUUGUCGGGUAAGUUCCGACCCGCACGAAAGGCGUAAUGAUUUGGAUACUGUCUCGGAGAGGGGCUCGGUGAAAUAGACUUGUCUGUGAAGAUGCGGACUACCUGCACCAGGACAGAAAGACCCUAUGAAGCUUUACUGUAACUUGAAAUUGAAAUUGGACUUUAUUCGCGCAGUAUAGGUGGGAGGCGUUGAUUAUAAUCUUGUGGGAUUAUUGGAGCCAUCAGUGAGAUACCACUCUUGUAAUGUUAGAUUUCUAACUUUGAAUCAUUAUCUGGUCAAAGAACAGUUUCAGGCGGGCAGUUUGACUGGGGCGGUCGCCUCCUAAACGGUAACGGAGGCGUACAAAGGUUUCCUCUGAACGGUUAGAAAUCGUAUCUAGAGUGUAAAGGCAUAAGGAAGCUUGACUGUGAGACCUACAAGUCGAGCAGGGACGAAAGUCGGUCUUAGUGAUCUGACGGUACUGAGUGGAAAGGCCGUCACUCAACGGAUAAAAGUUACUCUAGGAUAACAGGCUGAUCUCCCCCAAGAGUUCACAUCGACGGGGAGGUUUGGCACCUCGAUGUCGGCUCAUCGCAUCCUGGGGCGGUAGUACGUCCCAAGGGUUGGGCUGUUCGCCCAUGAAAGCGGUACGCGAGCUGGGUUCAGAACGUCGUGAGACAGUUCGGUCCAUAUCCGGUGUAGGCGUUAGAAUAUUGAGAGGAGCCUUCUUUGGUACGAGAGGACCGAGAAGGACAUACCUCUGGUGUACCAGUUAUCGUGCCAACGGUAAACGCUGGGUAGCUAUGUAUGGAGUGGAUAACCGCUGAAAGCAUCUAAGUGGGAAGCCCACCUCAAGAUAAGUAUUCUCAUG